AAUGAAGCUGGCGGCGUGCUUAACACAUGCAAGUCGUGCGCGAAGGUGGCUUCGGCUGCCGGAGAGCGGCGAACGGGUGAGUAACACGUGGGUGAUCUGCCUGGGGGCGGGGGAUAACCUGGGGAAACUCGGGCUAAUACCGCAUACGUUGGCGGGUUUACGGACUCGUCAAGAAAGCUGGCCUCUGCUUGCAAGCUAGCGCUCCCAGAGGAGCCCGCGGCUGAUAGCUAGUUGGUGAGGUAAUGGCUCACCAAGGCGACGAUCAGUAGCCGGCCUGAGAGGGUGAUCGGCCACACUGGGACUGAGACACGGCCCAGACUCCUACGGGAGGCAGCAGUGGGGAAUAUUGGACAAUGGGCGCAAGCCUGAUCCAGCAACGCCGCGUGGAGGAUGAA
rnacentral:rRNA from 1 species